rnacentral:lncRNA from 1 species
CGCCGGUGAAGAGCACCUACAAGAUAAAGUUCUCACAGACUGGAGUUGUGUCCGACAGGGACUCUCCGAUGCUUAAGUUAGAGAGAAAGUUAGUGAACAGUUAAUAAGAAUAUUGAGAGUGGCAGAGCCUUAGCCUAGAAUUGCUUUACCCGUGCUGCUCAUUUAUCUUUCUUUUUAUAGAUGAUUCUGAUGUAACUGUCGAGCAC